CCUACGGGUGGCAGCAGUGGGGAAUAUUGCACAAUGGGGGAAACCCUGAUGCAGCGACGCCGCGUGAAGGACGAAGUAUUUCGGUACGUAAACUUCUAUCAGCAGGGAAGAAAAUGACGGUACUUGACAAAGAAGCCCCGGCUAACUACGUGCCAGCAGCCGCGGUAAUACGCAGGGGGCAAGCGUUAUCCGGAUUUACUGGGUGGAAAGGGAGCGUAGACGGCCGUGCAAGUCUGAUGUGAAAACCCGGGGCUCAACCCGGGGACUGCAUUUGAAACUGGGCGGCUGGAGUGUCGGAGAGGCAAGUAGAAUUCCUAGUGUAGCGGUGAAAUGCGUAGAGAUGAGGAGGAACACCAGUGGCGAAGGCGGCUUGCUGGACGACGACUGACGUUGAGGCUCGAAAGCGUGGGGAGCAAACAGGAUUAGAUACCCCAGUAGUC
rnacentral:rRNA from 1 species